CGAAAAUGACCAAGACCCUUCUUCCCUCCUCUCUUUCAAAAAAUGACAAAGACCUUUUUUCCUUCUUCUAAACCCUUGUCGUCAUCAGCUUCCUUGGCAUCACCGCACCUUUCCCAGCUGACUAAAGUCACCUCCGGCAUCGGUCACUACCGUAAUGUCACCGACAUUAAUCAAUGUCGCGAACUACCUUUCUUCUCAUUUCUCCCAACCCGCGAAACCCCACCUUUUCCCCAUUCUUGGACCUUCCACGAUUGGUUAACAUCGUCGAUAGUAACACCAAUCCCUACCUGAGGCGUCGCCGAUGAGAAACAAAUGUGCACGAUUCUCUUCUCAUUCCCUCAACACGCCAACCGAAGAAUGAACCCAAACCCCAAGAUGGUUGGUCGAAGUCGGAAUCGCCGCCAUCGUCGCCAUGCUCUUCCUCCUCUCGAGCGCGAACCCCAUGGCCAUCGCUGGUUCUCCCCGUUAACAGACAUGUCUUCUUCUCUAGGUCACGGUGGCGGCUUUUACUUCCACCAACACCAACUGUACAUGACCCUUCCUCUCCACUUGAUUUAGCUCCCAGGUUAGCUACAUCACGUGUGAAAACACCUUCAUAUCAUUCAUCUACCACGUUAUAUCAUCAUCUGGUUCUUCAGGACAACAUUCAAAUAUGUUGAUGAGUUAGCUCAAACCCAUCCUUCAAUUUCUGACAUUGAAGAGUGUGGAUCUUUCCCCAACAAGUUGGACGGUUGUUUCUUGGUACCCAAUUUAUAUUGUCCGAAGCCGAAACAAUGAAAAGGAAUUGGAAGUAUGCUUCCUCACUUACCAUACUCUGCCAUCAUCUUUCGAAGGGGUGGCCUAUACAAGUUGCUUCAUACCCUGCCUCCGAAUGCUUCUGAGUACAUUUUACAAGCUCUGAAACCAAGGAAAAGUUGGCAUCCAUAGAAGAGCUUGAACUUUUUCCAAUCAUGUUAGUUUCUAUGUUUCUUUUUAUAAUUUUAGGUCACUGUUCAUAAAUUUCUUUGUAUUUAUUAUCAUUUAAUUAAUUGUAUUGUAUACUAUUCUUCAUUUGUAUAAAGGAUCAAAAUAUAUU